rnacentral:rRNA from 1 species
GACGAACGCUGGCGGCGUGCCUAAUACAUGCAAGUUGAGCGCUGAAGGUUGGUACUUGUACCAACUGGAUGAGCAGCGAACGGGUGAGUAACGCGUGGGGAAUCUGCCUUUGAGCAGGGGACAACAUUUGGAAACGAAUGCUAAUACCGCAUAAAAACUUUAAACACAAGUUUUAAGUUUGAAAGAUGCAAUUGCAUCACUCAAAGAUGAUCCCGCGUUGUAUUAGCUAGUUGGUGAGGUAAAGGCUCACCAAGGCGAUGAUACAUAGCCGACCUGAGAGGGUGAUCGGCCACAUUGGGACUGAGACACGGCCCAAACUCCUACGGGAGGCAGCAGUAGGGAAUCUUCGGCAAUGGACGAAAGUCUGACCGAGCAACGCCGCGUGAGUGAAGAAGGGUUUCGGAUCGUAAAACUCUGUUGGUAGAGAAGAACGUUGGUGAGAGUGGAAAGCUCAUCAAGUGACGGUAACUACCCAGAAAGGGACGGCUAACUACGUG